UGCCAGCAGCCGCGGUAAUACUGAAGGUGCAAGCGUUAAUCGGAAUCACUGGGCGUAAAGCGCUCGUAGGUGGCUUUGUAUGUCAGAUGUGAAAGCCCACGGCUCAACCGUGGAAUUGCAUUUGAUACUGCAUCGCUAGAGUAUGGUAGAGGGAAGUGGAAUUUCAAGUGUAGCGGUGAAAUGCGUAGAUAUUUGAAGGAACACCAGGGGCGAAGGCGACUUCCUGGGCCAAUACUGACGCUGAGGUGCGAAAGCGUGGGGAGCGAACAGGAUUAGAUA
rnacentral:rRNA from 1 species